rnacentral:misc_RNA from 1 species
AGAAUUUAUUAUGAAGCAUGAAGAUGAAGCUUAUGAGCUAUUGGAGAAAAUUGCAAAGAAUACUCAUCUUUGGAGUAGUCCAAGAGGACCAGCUCCAACUCAAAGGAGGCAAGCUGCUGGAAUGUAUGAUCUUGAUCCAUUCAACAUGAUUAAUGCAAAGUUUGAUGCACUUACAAAUGUUUUGGCUAAGAAGAUGGAAGAUUUGAGUAUGUUGGUUAGUUCAUCAUCAUCAUCUGGAAGUUCACAAUAAGUGACUUAUGCAGAAGGAACUACCAGCUGUGGAGUAGAAAAUGGAGAGCAGGCAGCAUAUGUUGGUAAUUAUGGAAACAAACAAAUGGGGAAUCCUUACUCUCAAACUUAUAAUCCAACUUGGAGGAAUCAUCCCAACUUUUCAUGGGGAAAUCAGCAAAAUCAAGUCCAAAAUCAGAAUUUUCAACCACAACAGCAACAAGGAAUUCCAUAUCAGCAAAAUAGGCAACCAUUGCCUAAUUUUCAGCAGAAAAAUAUGAAUCCUCCACCAAAACAGCAAGAACAAAGUUCCACCACUGAAGCUUUAUUGCAACAGAUUCUUGCUAACCAAACUAAGCAUGAUGAGGAGAUGAGAGAGAUGAAAGCAAGGCUAGAACAGAUGCAAACACAUAACAGAAUGCUGGAAAAUCAGAUUGCACAA